rnacentral:tRNA from 1 species
GGGCCCAUCGUAUAGUGGCAGUACACCGCAUUCGCAUUGCGGAAACGCGAGUUCGACUCUCGCUGGGUCCA